UCACUUUGGCAGCACGUACACUAAAACCGGAACUAUACUGGGCCUCUGUGCAAGGAUGACACACAAAUUCAUGGAGCACUUCAAGUUUUU
rnacentral:snRNA from 1 species